GACGAACGCUGGCGGCGUGCUUAACACAUGCAAGUCGAACGGAAAGGCCCUGCUUUUGUGGGGUGCUCGAGUGGCGAACGGGUGAGUAACACGUGAGUAACCUGCCCUUGACUUUGGGAUAACUUCAGGAAACUGGGGCUAAUAACGGAUAGGAGCUCCUGCUGCAUGGUGGGGGUUGGAAAGUUUCGGCGGUUGGGGAUGGACUCGCGGCUUAUCAGCUUGUUGGUGGGGUAGUGGCUUACCAAGGCUUUGCCGGGUAGCCGGCCUGAGAGGGUGACCGGCCACAUUGGGACUGAGAUACGGCCCAGACUCCUACGGGAGGCAGCAGUGGGGAAUAUUGCACAAUGGGCGGAAGCCUGAUGCAGCAACGCCGCGUGCGGGAUGACGGCCUUCGGGUUGUAAACCGCUUUCGCCUGUGACGAAGCGUGAGUGACGGUAAUGGGUAAAGAAGCACCGGCUAACUACGUG
rnacentral:rRNA from 1 species